rnacentral:piRNA from 1 species
UCAUCAAGUGCGUUGGAGGCUGAUCCCUCC